rnacentral:rRNA from 1 species
UACGUAGGCAGCAAACGUUGUUCGGAAUUACUGGGCGGAAAGAGUGUGUAGGCGGUCUUGUAAGUUCUGUGUGAAAUCUCCCGGCUUAACUGGGAGGGUGCGCCGAAUACUGCAAGGCUUGAGUACUGGAGAGGAUAGCGGAAUUCCUGGUGUAGCGGUGAAAUGCGUAGAUAUCAAGAGGAACACCUGAGGUGAAGACGGGUUGCUGGGCCGACACUGACGCUGAGGCGCGAAAGCCAGGGGAGCGAACGGG